rnacentral:rRNA from 1 species
GACGAACGCUGGCGGCGUGCUUAACACAUGCAAGUCGAACGGAAAGGCCCUGCUUUUGUGGGGUGCUCGAGUGGCGAACGGGUGAGUAACACGUGAGUAACCUGCCCUUGACUUUGGGAUAACUUCAGGAAACUGGGGCUAAUACCGGAUAGGAGCUCCUGCUGCAUGGUGGGGGUUGGAAAGUUUCGGCGGUUGGGGAUGGACUCGCGGCUUAUCAGCUUGUUGGUGGGGUAGUGGCUUACCAAGGCUUUGACGGGUAGCCGGCCUGAGAGGGUGACCGGCCACAGUGGGACUGAGAUACGGCCCAGACUCCUACGGGAGGCAGGAGUGGGGAAUAUUGCACAAUGGGCGGAAGCCUGAUGCAGCAACGCCGCGUGCGGGAUGACGGCCUUCGGGUUGUAAACCGCUUUCGCCUGUGACGAAGCGUGAGUGACGGUAAUGGGUAAAGAAGCACCGGCUAACUACGUG